rnacentral:rRNA from 1 species
UACGGGGGGGGGCAAGCGUUGUUCGGAAUUACUGGGCGUAAAGGGCUCGUAGGCGGCCAACUAAGUCAGACGUGAAAUCCCUCGGCUUAACCGGGGAACUGCGUCUGAUACUGGAUGGCUUGAGAUUGGGAGAGGGAUGCGGAAUUCCAGGUGUAGCGGUGAAAUGCGUAGAUAUCAGGAGGAACACCGGUGGCGAAGGCGGCUCUCUGGACGGUGACUGACGCUGAGACGCGAAAGCGUGGGGAGCAAACAGG